CCUACGGGAGACAGCAGUGAGGAAUAUUGGUCAAUGGCCGUAAGGCUGAACCAGCCAAGUCGCGUGAAGGAAGAAGGAUCUAUGGUUUGUAAACUUCUUUUAUAGGGGAAUAAAGGUAUCCACGUGUGGAUAUUUGCAUGUACCCUAUGAAUAAGCAUCGGCUAACUCCGUGCCAGCAGCCGCGGUAAUACGGAGGAUGCGAGCGUUAUCCGGAUUUAUUGGGUUUAAAGGGUGCGUAGGUUGUUUUUUAAGUACGCGGGGAAAGUUUGUGGCUCAACCAUAAAAUUGCCGUUGAAACUGGAAGACUUGAGUGUGUUUGAGGUAGGCGGAAUGCGUGGUGUAGCGGUGAAAUGCGUAGAUAUCACGCAGAACUCCGAUUGCGAAGGCAGCUUACUAAGCCAUAACUGACACUGAAGCACGAAAGCGUGGGGAUCAAACAGGAUUAGAUACCCUAGUAGUC
rnacentral:rRNA from 1 species